AUGAAGGUGGUGGACCGGCGCGCCGUGGCCAAGAAGCACAAGUUGGAGCGUGCGGCCGCCGAGAAGCGCAUCAUGCGGCUGCUCGACCACCCGUUCCUCCCCACGCUCUUUGCCGACUUCAACGCCGCCACGCGCUUCUCAUGCGUCGUCAUGGAGUUCUGCCCCGGCGGCGACCUCCACUCCCUCCGCCACCGUGAUCGGGAUGUCUGCCUUGCUAUACUAUCGGGCCGUGAUCACUUGGGAGAUAUUGUUGCUUCCGCUGACUCGUCUAUGAUCGAGCACUUGUAUUCGAGCCCUCGAGGCCCCUGGUUCUCAUGA
rnacentral:rRNA from 1 species